GACGAACGCUGGCGGCGGGCUUAACACAUGCAAGUCGCACGAAGUGGCGAACGGGUGAGUAAUACGUGAGUAACCUGCCCUCCUUGUUGGGCUCAGCCUUGGAAACGGGGUCUAAUACCGAAUAAAGGGGGAUGGGCUCGCGGCCUAUCAGCGUGUUGGUGGGGGGAUGGCCUAACAAGGCGGUGACGGGUAGCAGGCCUGAGAGGGGGACCGGUACAAGUGGGACUGAGAUACUGACCAGACUCCAACGGGAGGCAGCAGUGGGGGAGAUUGAACAAUGGCCGAACGCCUUAUGCAGCGACGCCGCGUGGGGGAUGAAGGCUUUCGGGUUGUAAACCUCUUUCGUUAGCGAACGGGUAGGUGGAGAAGAAGCGCCGGCUAACGACGUGCCAGCAGCCGCGGUAAUUC
rnacentral:rRNA from 1 species